UGCCCGAAUCCUGACACAGGGAGGUAGUGACAAGAAAUAACAAUACAGGGCUCUNUGAGUCUUGUAAUUGGAAUGAGUACAAUUUACAUCUCUUCACGAGGAUCAAUUGGAGGGCAAGUCUGGUGCCAGCAGCCGCGGUAAUUCCAGCUCCAAUAGCGUAUAUUAAAGUUGUUGCAGUUAAAACGCUCGUAGUCGGAUUUCGGGGCGGGGCCGCCGGUCUGCCGAUNGGUAUGCACUGGNGGGCGCGUCCUUUUUCCCGGAGACGGNNGCUACUCUUAACUGAGCGGNGGNCGGANACGGGAUGUUUACUUU
rnacentral:rRNA from 1 species